CAGCAUAUACAAAAAUCAAGUGGAUUAAAGACUUGAAUGUAAAAUCUGAAACCGUAAAACUCCUAGGAGAAAAAAUAGGGGAAAAGCUCUUUGACAUUGGUCUGGGCAAUGAUUUCUUGGAUAUGACACCAAAAGCACAGGCAACAAAAGCAAAAAUUAAAAAGUGGGACUACAUCAAACUAAAAAUCUGCACAGCAAGGAAAACAAUCAACAAAGUGAGAAGCCAAUCUACUGAACGGGAGAAAAUAUUUUAAAACCACCUAGCCAAUAAAGGGAGUUACCUUUCAUGGAAGGGUAAGCAGGAAGCAACUACAAGAUCAUCAUUUCAAAACAAUAUGAAAGCAGAAUGGGAAAUGCCACGGCAUGCUCCCUCUUUUCAGGCAAUAUGGACACUUUGGGGAAGUUAUGAAGCGUCUCCCAUUCCCGCUUGAGGUACUCAAUAGAGCCCACAAACACAAUGUGCUUGAGCUCAUGGUAAUGAAAGUUGCUGGCACGGAGCGGCAUCACCAGGUUCCGGAGGCCGAUCAGGGCUGAGCUGACAUCGCCAAAGAUGCAGACCACGACAUGGCCACUCAGGACGGUCAUGGCAGCUUCACU
rnacentral:antisense_RNA from 1 species